CCUCAGUAAUGGCGAAUGAACAGGGAUGAGCUCAGUAUGGAAAUUGGGGCCUGUGGCCUUGAAUUGUAGUCUGGAGAUGUACCACCAACUGGGGCGCAGAUGUAAGCCUCUUGGAAAAGAGCAUCAAUGAGGGUGAGAGUCCCGCAUGGCAUCUGCAGUCCCCAGUGCACGGUGUACCUUCUAAGAGUCACGUUCCUCGGGAUUGGAGCGCAAAUCGGGUGGUAAAUUUCAUCUAAAGCUAAAUAUAGUUUCGAGACCGAUAGCAAACAAGUACCAUGAGGGAAAGGUGAAAAGGACUUUGAAAAGAGAGUUAAAAGUGCCUGAAAUUGCUGAAAGGGAAGCGAAUGGAACCAGCGAAACUUGGCAAGAUUGCUGUGUGUCAAUGUGAUUGCUUGCUGCUGCAACGUAAGUGUGGUAGUAAGUCUUGAGCAGGACAUGCUCGGUGUUUCUUGCCUUGUGUGUCACCUGUGGUUCGUGAUUGAGGAAAACUUCAGGGACAUGGUAGCCUGUCUCCGGGUGGGUGAACGUGUCUGCUGGAACUCAUUCGUGGACUGCUUGGUGACUAAAUGGUUUCAUCCGACCCGUCUUGAAAC
rnacentral:rRNA from 1 species